UUGAAGGUGGAAGGGUAUGGUAGGAUGGGU
rnacentral:piRNA from 1 species